CUUACGUGAAGGAACGCUAAUACCGCAUACGUCCUACGGGAGAAAGCAGGGGACCUUCGGGCCUUGCGCUAUCAGAUGAGCCUAGGUCGGAUUAGCUAGUUGGUGAGGUAAUGGCUCACCAAGGCGACGAUCCGUAACUGGUCUGAGAGGAUGAUCAGUCACACUGGAACUGAGACACGGUCCAGACUCCUACGGGAGGCAGCAGC
rnacentral:rRNA from 1 species